ACCUAUACAUGCCAUUUAACCAAAAUAUACAAAGUACAAAAUACCGGAAUGAGAGUUUGAUAGUGCGACACGAUCUCUGACAACUUCCAAACCGAGCGAGCUUUCAAAUCACUAUAAAACACGAAAAUUAAAACAGAGUAAGCAAUUAAGCUUAGUAAGUUUGUAUGGCUAAUAAAUACAACUUACCAUUCAUCCACAAUUUAGAUAAGCAUAAUUAAAACAUAGGUAAAUUUCAAUUGGCCCAAAGCCUAAUACAUAAUCACAAUCAUGUUAGUCAUAUAUGAAUACAUCAACUAUGAAUUACUUUUCGUAUUUUACACGAAUACCUAUACUGGUUCGUAUCAACUCUUAUAACCUCGUAUCAUCAUCUGUGCCUGUUAAACCAUUUGGAAUACUAUCGGAUACUCAAGUAUCUCACACACUAAGUGCUAAUACGUGGUCAAAAUCACCUCUAUCCCAUAUCUCAUAUAGAUGCUCACUCUCGAGCCAUCAUUAGUCUGCUCACACAAGCUGUCAGUCAAGACGUAACUACACAGUGUUACUCAUACAAGCUGUAAAGUAAUCGCAACACAUACCAGAAACUCAACCACCGGUAAGACGUACGAGACCAACACCCAAAAAACGGUAACCCUUAAUGACAUGUCAUUUGUAUCCUAUCUAUUCCUAAGGUUCAACCGGUAUCCAUACAUUGUAGAUACCUCGUCGAGAAUUUCCGUGGUGUCAUAUCAUCACAAUUAUAUCAAUUGAGCAUUUAAACACAUAUAACUUAAUUCUUAUUAAACAUACAAACUUACCUCAAAUUUACACGGAGACAAUCGACCGAUCAAUCCAUUACUUUAUCUUUGCCUCGAUCUAAUUCCGAACGUGGCUUUUCUUGUUCUAUAUAUAAUCAAAUUUAACUAAUUUAAUAUUUAUUCUAUUCAAUUCAAUUCAAUUUCAUGUUAUGGAAAAAUUACCAUUUUACCCCUAAACAUUUAACCUUUUUACAAUUUAGUCCUUAGGCUCGUAAAAAUGAAAUUAAUGAAAUUUCACUACAUCCAAGCCUAUCCAAAAAUUAUAUAUGCUCAUAUCAGCCCAUAUAUUACAUAAAUUCACGCAUUUGUCACAAAUUUUUCACAUUUCUCAAUUUAACCCAUAACUAACAAUUUCAUCAAAACUCACUUAACAAAAGUUGUUUAUUUAACAACAUGGGUUCAUUUUCUUCCAUUAAACUUCAAGAACAACUAAUAUUCUCUCAUGGAAAAACCCUAUACUUUAAACCAUAUUGCAAUUUAGUCCUCUAUUUAGCUAGAUUAAGCUACAACAGUUCCGAAAACAUAAAAAUCAACGAAAACGGGAUGAAAUAGCACUUACAUGCAAAGAAAAAACUUGAGAAAAAAUUUCUUCCCUUCUCCUAUGGUGAAUUCAGCUAUGGCAUGAAAAAUAGAAGAAGAUGAUAGCUUUUUGGCUUUUCUUUUAUUUAUUUUUAUCAUUAAUUGUAUUUUUAUCAUUUUACCCUUACCUAACUUUAAAAAUUACUCAUAUACCAAGCCAUGCACACCCAAUAACUCAUUUAAUGGUCCAAUUACCAUAUAAGGACCUCCAAUUUAAAUUUCUAUAGCUAUUUAACACCUUUAGCUAAUAGAACACAACUUUCACACUUUACGCGAUUUAGUCCUUUUUCAAAAAUUGAGCAUACAAAUAGUAAAAUUUAUUAACAAAAUUUUUAUACCACCAUAUUAUCAUGCUAUAGACCAUAAAAUAAUAUUAAAAUAAAUUUUUCAACUUCAAAUUUGUGGUCCUGAAACCACUAUUCUGAUUUCAUUGAAAACGGGCUGUUACAAGAUAAUUCUUGAUGAUGGUUUUCUCUACUAUUGAAAUUUAAAUGCUUAUUAUGUUAAUUAAGUUAGAUUAACUUAAUUAAUUUAGGUUAAUUAAAGAUUAUUCAAAGUAUAUAAGACAUGUGAAAAUGGGAUAUUCCUCCUUCAUUUUCUUUUAACCGUCCAAGCAUAAAAACCUUAGAAAAGUCAUUUUUGAAACUCAAACAUUCAACCAUCUAAUAGGUAAGCAAAUUUAAGUCUUUUCUUGUAUUUUUUUUUUUAUGUUUUUGAAGUCAUGGGCGCUUGAUUUAGCUAGCUUAUAUACCAAUUUAUAAAAUUAUUAAAGUUUUUGAAAGUUGUCAUUGUUUAAUUUUUGAAGAAUUAUGCUUGAAAUUGAUAGAUUUUAAGUUUGGGGUGGUGAAAAGGACUAGAUUGUAAUGUUUAAUUGUUAGUUUUACACAUAGAGAUUAAAGUGAAUAAUACAUAAAAUUGUUGUGAAAUUUCGAUAGAAAUAGAAAGUAGAGGGUUCCUGAUGAAUGUAUGUGAAGUUGGAUUUUAAAUUGAGGUUAAAAAUUGAAAGUUAUGGCUAUUUUGAAUUUAGGGACUAAAUUAAAUAAAAUAUAAAAUUUUAGGGUAUCAAAAAAUGAGAUUAUAUAAGUUCAUUCAUGUCAUGGCAUAAUAUGAAAUUUUUUUGUAUUGAUGGAUUGUAUAAAAUAAUUGUUUAGAUUAAGAACCAGAUCAAAUCGGAGUUAAUCAAGGAGAAGCUAAAUUUGUUGAUUAGUUCUUGAAGAAUCAACUUGUUUGAUGUUUUGAUCACAUUGUCGAAACCACUUUUUGAAAAACAAAAAUUUAGUUAUAGACUUAAAAAUGAAAAUUGGAGUCGCCACCGAUCCUUUAUUGAAGUGUGAUCGGAUCACCUUAAAAACGAUUUUGGUCUACGAAUUUCAGAAAAAUGAGUCCGGGAGUCAAUUACAUACGAGGAAGGGUUAGUACCCUCGUAAUGCCCAAAAUUGGUACCUAAUUGAUUAUUUAACGUCUUGAGGUCGAAUGUCGAAAAUGGUUAAAAAGCGAUUCCCCUUUUAAAAUCUUUAUUAAAAUUUUUUAUUUUGAAAACUAAAAAAUUUAGUCAUCUUGCUUCAGUGAAGAAAUCGAAACCCCGUAAGUUAGGGCACGAUUCUUUGAAGUUCCUAUGACAACACACGAAUUUGCUUUUAUCAAAAAUCUCGUCUCGAGAUAACAAAAUGUCGGACCCAGUGAGUUAGGAUAUAACAUUUCAAAUUCUCGAGAUAAGCUUUGAUUUGAAAUUUUUACAUUUGGAUUGAAAAAAAGAUACUCGGGUACUUAAAUUCAACGAGGAAAAUUGAAGCCCAGUAAGUUAGGGCACAAUUUUCUUUGAAAAUCUAAGAUACCGAGAAUUGCUUUAUUUUAUAAACCCUUGAAUGAAAAAUGUAAGGUGAUUAAAUGACAAUAUGCAACGCGAAAGGGUAACUUGUAAAUAAAUCACACAUUAAUCAAAUGAGCGGUAGAUAUAUACAAGCAAGUAAUACACAUAGCAACAAUAAUCUCAUGUAAAUACUCACAUUGGCUAAUAAGAGGAAACUAAUUAAAAUCAAGCAAUUUUACAUAAACACUAACGAAAUAUACAAAUUUAAAUAUAAUUCAAGAAACAAAUAUAAUAUAUAUAAAUUAAAAUAUUUAAAUAAAUUUAAAUAAAUUAACAAUAUUGAAAUAAGUUGAAAUAAAUUAAAGAUGUUAAAAUAUUUGAAAGAGAUAAAAUAUCUAUAUAAUAAUAUGAAACUAACAAUAGAUUAUGUAUGUAUGUAUGUAUGUAUGUAUAAUGAAAAUAAUUUAAUAUAAAAUAUGUAUACAUAUAUAAUAUUAUUAUAUAAUAGUAUUACGUAAACAAAUAUUUAUACAAAUCUAAAAAUAUGUAAUGAGUAAAUUUUGAGAAAAUAUAUUGUAGAAUAAAAAAAAUACAAUAAAUAUUAAUAAUGGUAUAUCAUAAAAAAGGGGUAAUAAUAUAUAAAAUUUUAAAAGAAGCUUAAAACAAAAUACAUAUAUAAUAAAAUAAUGUAUAAAUAAAAUAAGUAAAUAUAUAAACGAAUAACAUCAUUAAUAAUAAUAACAAUAAUUGUAGUAAAUAUAAUAAUUAUAUCAAACCAAUUUAUUAAUUUUUUUAGAAAAAUAACAUACAUAUCAAAAAAGGAUUAAAUCGCAAUUAAAACUAAAUUAACAGGAAACAAAUGAAAUUAAAAUAAAUAGCGGGAUUAAAACACAAUACAUAGAUUACAAGGGGGUCAGAUUGAAAUAUUCCCCUGCAUCCAAAACGCUGCGCGGCGAAAUGGGUUAAAAUGGGACAACAUCAAAAUACGGGGCGAAUUUAGGAAAUAAAAAAAACAAAUUGAAACUAUGAAACAAAUUAGGAGGACUAAUAGCGCAAAUUACCCAUUAGGGCAAGAACGCGCUGACCCUACCUACGGGUCGGGUCAACGCGCAGAUCUUCCCUCAUUAAAACGGUGCCGUUCUCCUUUAAUAUUAAAAUCAAAAUUAUUCUUAAAAAAACAUUUCUAUUUCAUUUUUUAAAGAGGAAAGCAGAGGGGAAGGGGUUCUCUGCUAGGGUUUCGACCCUAGCACCCUCAUGCCGCCGCCGUCGUGCCCACCGUGAAGCCAUCGCGAAUGGCGCCCGAAACCAGGUAAAUCGCUUUUUUCCUUUUUAUUAUUAUUUUUUAAAAAAGUAUGAAACAAAGAUAAAAAAAAACAAAAGAAGAAAACUCGAAGAAAAAAGGAAAAAAAAACCUUCAAAUUGCUCUUUGAUUCUCUUUUUUUUAAAUAGUUUUUGAUAUAAUAUUCGUAACCCAUUUUACAGAUUUAAUUUGGCUUUAUAUAGCCAAAAUAACGUAAAAAAGAAACUCUCGAAAACUCUUUUUUCAUUUUUGUCGUAAUUUCUGCUAUUAUUUGCUGUUCGUGAUUUGUGGUUUGUUACAGGUGCACUAGAGGAGACGUGCGUGGCGUGCGUGGAGGGCGAUAACCGCUGGCACACACGCGCGAAAAGGCCUGGUGGUUGCGGCGCUGGCUGGGGUUGAAUGCUAUUAGGGUUUGGUUUUAUUUUUUGGUGAAAUAAGCUUAGGGUUAGUGGUUUAGGUCUUUAUAACUAUUGGGCUAGGUAUCGGGCCUCUGUAACUGGGUUUGGGAUUAGGUUGAUAUGUUGAGCUAAAAUUUUGUAAUUUGGAUUGCGUUUGGACUUUACAUUUUUUUGGUAUUUAAUUUUAUUUAUUUAGUUUUUGUAAGGGGGCAAAAAAUUGGGUAUCACACACAUAAGUUCAUAUGAUAUUUAUUUACUUAGGUUAUUAUGUAUUUGAUUUAUAUACGCAUGCUUGAUUGUGGAUUACUUAGUUAUAAAUUGGUAUGAAAGGCUAGAAUUGGACUAUUGGUUUAGAAACGUUAUGAAUUUAAUUAUACUUAAAUUGCGUCUUCCAUUUUGGCCAAUUUAUUUCAUGUUUAUAAUUCUCAACAAAUUGUUUUUAAGAUCCUCAUUUUUUUUUCAUUAUUUCAAUAAAAAAUUGCAUGUAAAAUCGUUGUCGACAACUUUCUAUUUUCAUGGUUCUAUAUUUUCACAUAUUAACAUAACUUAUUGUAUUCUCUUUAUUUUCAUUAUUUCUAUAUUUAGGUAUUUGAAUCUGUUUAGAAGUUUUAAUAAGUAGUUAUGUUGUAGGUCUCUUUAAAAGCACUCGCAUCCAUUAUAUAACUAUCUAUAUUUAUUAUUUUCUUGUACGAGAUUUUUCAUAUUUGGAAUCGAUCAACCUAUCAUGCUUCAAUCAUGCAUUACUUUUAUUUAUUCUAACAGGUUGACUUCAAUUCAAAUAAAAAACAUUAGUUGGUAUAUAGAACUAUUCUCAUUAGAGUCCUCAAUCCAUGGCUUUUGCUCGAGAUUUGGGACUUGAUAAGGUGGUUGUGGAAGGGGAUUCUCUUACCGUGAUUAAAAAUGCAUCGUCUAACUAUCUUGAUCUCUCUCCUAUUGGUCCCAUUAUUCAAAGUAUUAGACACAUGAGAAUUUUUUUUCAAUAUUGUGAUUUUGUGUUUACUCGAAGACAAGGGAAUAUUGUCGCAAAUCUAUUGGCAAGGUUAGGUAAGGAUUAUGGAGAAAAUACCUUAUGGAUGGAGGACGGGUCGGAGUAGAUCUAUCGGCUUCUGGAAGAAGCUCAACAUUUUCUCCACUUAGAAUAGUUUGUUUUGCUUUUUCUUCUGCUUCCUUGGUCUGGUUUUGUUUCUUGCCUGUGGGGAGUGGGAUUGCUGUCGCACAACAACUUGAUUGCAGGUUUUGGCACUGUUCUCCCUUUUGGCGUCCCUGCUCUGAGGUUUUCAGUAUUCUUUCAUUUCUUCAAGAUGGGGAUUUCAUUUCAGUAUUCUAUAGACUUUGAGAGGGUUUUUUUUGUUUUGUUUUGUUUUAGAUGUGAGGAGAUUGGUUAUUCUUUUUC
rnacentral:lncRNA from 1 species